AAGGCUGCCUGUUGGAUCAGUCUUUAAUGCUACAACUACUGAUGCUAGCUGGCUAAUUUCACUUGUGCUCCUGGCUCAAGGACAGAGGAAACCACUGCAAGAAGAGGGCAAGCCAGUCUCACAACAUUUAUUCCCUAUUUUUGUGGCAGUGACACUCAGAGAUGAUGAAACUAAAUCUACCUGUCCUGACUCUUUGCCUUCUUGGCAUAGUAGCUGUGUGUGCAGUGUCAACAGUGACCCCAACUACCAGUUCAAAACCAACCACCACUACCAUUCCAGGCCCAACCACCACUACUACUUCAGGCCCAACCACCACUACCAUUCCAGGUCCAACCACCACUACUACUUCAGGCCCAACCACCACUACCACUCCAGG